UACGUAGGUGGCGAGCGUUGUCCGGAUUUACUGGGCGUAAAGAGCGCGCAGGCGGUCGUUCAAGUCGCGUGUGAAAGCCCCCCGGCUCAACUGGGGAGGGUCACGCGAUACUGAUCGACUCGAAGGCAGGAGAGGGAAGUGGAAUUCCCGGUGUAGUGGUGAAAUGCGUAGAUAUCGGGAGGAACACCAGUGGCGAAGGCGACUUCCUGGCCUGUUCUUGACGCUGAGGCGCGAAAGCUAGGGGAGCAAACGGGG
rnacentral:rRNA from 1 species